UCUCCGUUCCAUAGGUUUUGGCGCAGCAAUUGACUGGAUAUCUAGGGGUAACGCACUGUUUCUGUGCAGGCCGCGAGAGCGGUACCAAAUCGAGGCAAACUCUAAAUACUAUAUAUGACCUCAAAAUAACAGGGGUCAAGGUAGGCCAGUGAGACGAUGGGGGAUAAGCUUCAUCGUCGAGAGGGAAACAGCCCGAAUCACCAGAUAAGGCCCCUAAAUGACCGCUCAAUGAUAAAGGAGGUAGGGGUGCAGAGACAGUUGGUUUGCCUAGAAGCAACCACCCUUGAAAGAGUGCGCUCUUGCGCCGAAGAUGAACGGGGCUAAGUGAUCUACCAAAGCUGUGGGACGUAAAUGCAUCGGUAGGGGAGCGUUCCGCCUUAGAGAGAAGCACACGCGCGAGCAGGGGUGGACGAAGCGGAAGUG
rnacentral:ncRNA from 1 species